AGAGUUUGAUCAUGGCUCAGGAUAAACGCUGGCGGCGUGCCUAAUACAUGCAAGUCGAUCGAUGGAAUACCAGCUUGCUGGUAUGAAGUAGAGGCGAACGGGUGAGUAAUACAUAAGCAACCUGCCCACGAAGACUGGGAUAAUCCCUGGAAACGGGGACUAAUACCGGAUAGGUAACACAGAGGCAUCUCGGUGUUAUUAAAGGUUAAAAACACUGGUGGAUGGGCUUAUGGCGCAUUAGCUAGUUGGUGAGGUAACGGCUCACCAAGGCGAUGAUGCGUAGCCGGCCUGAGAGGGUGAACGGCCACAUUGGGACUGAGACACGGCCCAGACUCCUACGGGAGGCAGCAGUAGGGAAUUUUCGGCAAUGGAGGAAACUCUGACCGAGCAACGCCGCGUUGAGUGAUGACGGCCUUCGGGUUGUAAAGCUCUGUUGUAAGGGAAGAACUGUACGGAGAGAAUCCGUAAAUGACGGUACCUUACCAGAAAGCCACGGCUAACUACGUGCCAGCAGCGGC
rnacentral:rRNA from 1 species